UCUCUCUCUCUCAAAACCAUAUGAUUUUUGCUCGUGCUCAAAUGCUUAAGUGUUAAUGGUAUUUAUAGGCUUAGGAUUAAGAUCCUAAAGUCAGUGGCUGCAAGAAGCGAAAUUGUUAACUUAGUUAAACCAUAACUAACUUAACCAACUCUCUUCUGAGCGAGAUCUCGACGUCAGGAUUAGUCUAAGUGCAUCUGGGAACAUAUAUGAGCUACUGGGAUCAUAGACCAAAAGUACUCGCUGAAGAAGCUUCCGGAUAAGAUAGAACUAGCUAGAGUCGACUAUCCAGAACUGUCUUCCAGGGAGAUCAAUCUUCCACGAAGAAUAACUAGCUAUCCAAAAUUUCUUUCCAGAGGAGGGCUAGCUAUCCUGAAGACUGAACCUGGAGUGGACAUGAUAGUCAUCCGGGAAUUCCCUUCCGGAAUUAACAACUUAGCUAUCCGAGAACAACAUCUGGGAGACACCUAACUUUCCAGGAACAACUUUCUAAAAAUGAUAUUGGAGAUCUUUUCAUUUGGAGGAACUAUACCACAUCAUCAUUUUUGAAACUUGGUUAGAGUUUAAUAAUUUAGAUUAAAUAAGUUUUUUUUUUGAUCUCACGCAAUUUUCAUGGGUUUUAUCUUGUUCUUCACAAUCUCUACACUACAAUAAAGAUUCAUGCGCUUGUGGUUGAUAAUCUGUCUUGUACAUCUCGAGCAUAAUCUUAAAAAUGAAAAAAAAAAUAACAUAAUUUGCAACUCAAUUUGAAAAAAUUAUUUGACAAUAUUGUUUUUAAUUUUAUUUCAAUGCAGUAACAAUUAUGGUGACUUAGUCAAUCUUAAGUUUUAAAGCUCAAUUUUGAUGUUGUUGGUUAGUUACUGGUGUCUCAAUUUAAGUUAAAGGGUAUUCUCUAAUUCCCUUGUGAUGAAAGUUAGGACUAUUCUUAUAGGAGUUCAAUUGUGUGAUGUAUUAGUACAAUUGAGUUUAAUUGUAAGGUGAUGAUUGACAAAACGAAGAAUAAUGUUAUGUUAGUGAUCACUUUGUCCUUUGAGUGAUGUAAUUAAUUAGUGUAGAAAUUAUACUAUAUAUGAAAAAAUUAUAAGAGUUUACUUUUUUAUGGCAUAAAUAAAUAAAGUUAAAGGGGUUAUGAGUUUUUUGUUUUUUGUAUUUUUACAUUUAUAUGGGUUUUUUUAUGCCAUAUUUUUGUGAAAAUAUUAAAAAUCCCAUAUCUUAAAUUUUUAUGCAUUUUCAGCCGGUACGGACAUCCCUUGCUAGUCGCCGAAAAGAAAUAUACGACUCUUACUUCUCUUGGUUCUUCUUCUCCAUACUUUCACGAUUCCAUUGCUGCCCGCGUGCCGGAGUACAAGGCCCUUCUCAAUCCGAACAAGAACCCUAAGUUUGGCGCCAUGGUUCUUUUCCCCGAGGUAGGUUGGCCUCCAUCUUUGUCUACUGCGGCAACGAGGGCGACAUCGCCUGGUUCGCUGCCAAUACUGACAUCGUCUGGGAGAUCGCCCCAUAGUUUGGCGCCAUGGUCCUCUUCCCUAAGCAUAGAUACUAUGGAGAAUCGAUGCUGCUCGAGAGAAGCAUUGGUUGAUUUCGCCGUCUUGAUCAUUGAGUUAAAGCGAAACUUUUGGUAAAGGACUGCCAUGUCGUGUUAUUUGGUGGAUCAUACGAAGGUCCACCAAAGGAAUGUUGGCAUCAUGGAAGAGGCUCAAUUAUCCUCACAUAGCCAUUGGAGCACUUGCUUCUUCGGCUCCAAUUCUUCAGUUUGAGGAUAUUGCUCAUGUGGAAACAUUUUAUGACUUGAUCUCCAAUGGUUUCAAGGUUUCUCAACCUCUCUUUACUAUUUUAUUUUUUGUUUUCUACUUUAUGCCAGUCAACACUUUUGUUAUUCUUCAGGUUAUGCUAUCUAUUUCAAAGAUAGCAUGCUUUUUUUUUCUUCUUUGUAUUCUACCAUUUGAUGUAAUACUAUGUUCUGUUUCUUGAAAAUAAAAUAAAAAAAGAAAAUAAAUUCAUGUGACAAAAUCGUGGUUAAGAACAUUAAAUAUUAGUGCUCCUGCUUAUGGUGCCAUUCUCUUCAUCCUCAUAUCUAAUUUUUUCACAAAAUCUUUCCUAAUAGUUUGAGUGUCCUCCUUGCGCAAUUUUUGAUAUGGUCCAGCUGCUCUGAGUUAUUGUGUGUUAUUUGAUUUUGUUCAUUUUAUUGUGGAACUGGUUUUGCUCUAAUUUAUGUAUCAGUAUUAGGUUCUAAGUGUGGUUGGGUCAUCUCGUCAUUUUAUUGUGGAUCCAGUUCUAUUUAAUUUAUUUAUCAGUAUUUUUUGAAUUGAUUUUUUCUUAUGUUUUAAUUAGAACCGUGUUAAUUCUAUUUUUGGCAUAUUUAAUUGACAAAAAUAUUUUAUUAUUCAUUGUAUAUUUUCGGCUGGUAUGCUUGAAUAUGGUUUCCUAUUUUGUGUAUUCAAACUUGAAAGGAAAGUUGUCUAGCUUUCCUAUUUUUGGAAAAAAAGUAAAAAUGUUAAGUUUGGUUACCCAUUUCUUUUUUUAUCUAACCAGCUGUAUAAUCUGAUCCUGUGUUGAGUUUCUCAUUUUCUCAGAUCAGAUUUCUUGAAGAGAAAACCAGAGCUAAACUUUCCUUUUCUAUAAAAGGAAAGUUGUAGUUACUGCCCACGAUUCUGUAGGUACAGAAACGGAAAUUCCUGGACUAAUUGAAGAAUUAUUUUAAGAAAGUUUCUAGUGGGCUGAGGUCUUAUUCAGACCGAAUGUAAGCUGUCAAUAAGAUGUAUAUUCAUUAUAAAUACAUCUUAUAGCAGCUAGGUUUAGUAUCUCUUUCAAACACUUAGAAUUGUAUUCAUAUCUUAAGGAAAGAGUAUCUUUGUUAUGUAGAGAAGAGUUGUUCGACUCUUACUCUGUUUAUUUGUUGUUUGUAUUGUCUUAAGUCUGUAUUCAAGUCUACAACGAAGAAGAACAUCAGUGCACCUUCGGGAGAAGGGUAUUUACAAGCUUUCGGGAGAUUGCUUUUGAAGUCUUGCAUCGGGAGGAUACAAGCACACCUUCGGGAGAAGGUUUUUACAAGCUUUCGGGAGAUUGCUUUUGAAGUCUUGCAUCAGGAUGAUACAAGCACACAACCUUCGGGAGAUGGUUGUAUAGGCUUUUGGGAGAUAGCCUUUAAGCCUUGAAUCGGGAGGAUUCAAGCACUCUUCAAGGUGAUCGAAGGGAGUUCGAGCUCUUGGAGUUUUAUCAAGAUUCGGUUAGUAGGUGGAAUACAUCAAGCUUGCGGCAUACAAUAAGAGGGAGUCUAUUUAUGCAUAAGUCAAUUACUUUGUAUUUUUGAUACCGAUCUAAUGAAUCUUAUCUCUGGGUGUGGCCUCGUGGACUAGUAACAAUCUGAAAGGAUUGUUGAAACCACGUAAAAAAAUCUUGUGUGUUUUUA